CCUACGGGAGGCAGCAGUGGGGAAUCUUGCACAAUGGAGGAAACUCUGAUGCAGCGAUGCCGCGUGAGUGAAGAAGGCCUUUGGGUUGUAAAGCUCUUUUGUAGGGGAAGAUAAUGACUGUACCCUAAGAAUAAGGUCCGGCUAACUUCGUGCCAGCAGCGCGGUAAUACGAAGGGACCUAGCGUAGUUCGGAAUUACUGGGCGUAAAGCGCGCGUAGGCCGUUGAGUUAGUUAAUUGUGAAAUCCCAAAGCUUAACUUUGGAACUGCAAUUAAAACUGCUCGACUAGAGUUUGAUAGAGGAAAGCGGAAUACAUAGUGUAGAGGUGAAAUUCGUAGAUAUUAUGUAGAACACCAGUUGCGAAGGCGGCUUUCUGGAUCAACACUGACGCUGAGGCGCGAAAGUAUGGGUAGCAAAGAGGAUUAGAUACCCUCGUAGUCCAUACCAUAAACGAUGAUUGCUAGAUGUUGGAAAUUUAUUUUCAGUAUCGCAGCUAACGCAUUAAGCAAUCCGCCUGGGGAGUACGACCGCAAGGUUAAAACUUAAAGGAAUUGACGG
rnacentral:rRNA from 1 species